rnacentral:tRNA from 1 species
CACUAGAAAGCUAAGUGGACAAGCAUUAGCCUUUUAAGCUAAAGAUUGGUGGCCCCAACCCACCUCUAGUGA